GGAGGGGGGUCAUAGCUCAGUGACAGAGCCUCUGCUUUGCAUGCAGAAGAUCCCAGGAUCGAUUCUUGGCUUCUCCA
rnacentral:tRNA from 1 species